GUCGCAGGUUCGAAUCCUGCACGACCCACCAAUUUUAACAUCAAACUCAGAUGUUAAGCGUGAAGGAUAACGUUGCGCCAGCAACGGCCCGUAGGGCGAGCGAAGCGAGUCAUCCUGCACGACUCACCA
rnacentral:sRNA from 1 species